AAAUUGAAGAGUUUGAUCAUGGCUCAGAUUGAACGCUGGCGGCAGGCCUAACACAUGCAAGUCGAACGGUAACAGGGAUCAGCUUGCUGAUUUGCUGACGAGUGGCGGACGGGUGAGUAAUGUCUGGGAAACUGCCCGAUGGAGGGGGAUAACUACUGGAAACGGUAGCUAAUACCGCAUAACGUCGCAAGACCAAAGAGGGGGACCUUCGGGCCUCUUGCCAUCGGAUGUGCCCAGAUGGGAUUAGCUAGUAGGUGGGGUAACGGCUCACCUAGGCGACGAUCCCUAGCUGGUCUGAGAGGAUGACCAGCCACACUGGAACUGAGACACGG
rnacentral:rRNA from 1 species